rfam:Camelus ferus unplaced genomic scaffold scaffold175, whole genome shotgun sequence.
GAGGGUAGAGUUCAGUGGCAGAGUUCAUGCCUAGCAUGCAGGAUGUCCUGAGUUCAAUCCCCAGUACCUCUA